rnacentral:RNase_P_RNA from 1 species
AGGUCUUCUCGGAUGACCGCGCACAGAUGAUGAGAGACGGGAAACGUCCUGUCUGCCGCUGUGGGAGGAAAGUCCGAGCUUCAUAGGGCAUCGUAGUGGGUAACGCCCACCUCCGCCACAAAUUGUUGGCGGACGGAUAUCCGCCAUGCCGAAAGGCAGGGGUGGAUCCGCCAUGUUUUUUGGCGGAAGAGCCACAGAGACGAGUCUAGAGGCCGUGCUUCGUGCAACGUAGGUCGUAUGUCGUCAAAGCUGAAAAGCUUGCAAUUCAUGCAAAUGAGUUGUUAAGCGACAUACGAAAUACGAACUACGCUGUACGGUUUUUAGGGUGAAACGCGGCAAUCUCUACGUGAAGAAAGGCUAAAUAAGGUAAAGAGCGCAAGCGAGAACGGCCCGUUCUUAUUUUACCGAAAGGUGAAAACUUUACCGGGUCAGCCGACCGAGGCCGCCAGCAAUGGCGGUCCUAGAUAGAUGGUCAUCACUUGUCGCGCGAGCGGCAGGUACAGAACUCGGCUUACAGAGAAGGCCUUCUC